rnacentral:sRNA from 1 species
UUUCAAGUUCGUCUUUGUUU